AGGGCGGGAGCUCCCUCAGGGCAGCGGCUUCCGUCGGGGCAGCGGCGCGCGGGGAGCGGUCGUGAAAUGGCGGUUGGCCCCCUCUUUCCCUCCCUCCUUCUUUCCCCUCAAGACCGAGGAAGUGGUCUCUGAUUCUCCACAAAGAGAAAAGGAAAAACAUCUGUCAGUUUGGUAAUGUUUUAGGGAGGUGCUGUUGUUUCAAAAGGCUGUUGGGACCCUAAGACUUCCUGCAGGUUCUCACAUCUUGGCAUACUGUCCUCGUGACUUAUCCUGCAGCCAACUUUGUAUUUCAUCAAGGUAGUAAACAAAACCUGAAGGGUUCUCAGCAAAACAUUGUCUCGAAUCUCCUCCCGUUUUCCUGAUACUCAAGCAAAGAAGCUGUCUUCUGGUUGUGAUAAUGUGAUGAUCCUCUAGCUUAAGGCUUAUCAAUAGAAAAGAUAUGUUCCUGGAUUGCUUGUGUACUAAGAAACAAAACACAUUAUGUAUUAUAUUCACACUGAAAGCACACCAAUUCAUACAAUAGAUAGAUAUAUUUAACAUGUGUCUUUUGGGCAGAUCAUUAAUUACAGCAGGACACUUUAGAUUUCGUAUGAAAGUUGAUUUUAAAGUACAGAACUAUGAAAAGAAACUUUAACUGCUAUUUCUGCUUUGGAAGCUUAAACUGGAUGAAAUAACUCAAAAAAAAAAAAAAAAAAAAGUAGUGUGGCUAAAGCAUUUAACAAUGGAAAGUUAUACCUCAUUCUGCAAUGAUUGGUUUUCCCAGCCAAAAUGGAGUUUAAAGCAGAAACUGCAACAGAUCCUGCACUAGCAAAGGUAGCAGCCAGUGCUUAGGUAUUAAGGCAAGUCCAGUACAGAGCCAAAGUUAAAAAUAAAUAUAUAGUUGAGAAGAUCAAGGUAGUUUACAGUUGAACAUACCAUGUUUCUUCCUUUCUUGUCCGUAAUAAGUACACAGAAGGCAGUUCAACCAUGUAGUUAGGCUAUGGAAAGAACAAAGCUGUUGUACAGAGUGGGAUUUCUUUUUCUGACCACUGGGGGAGCAAAUUCGUCACUGGGCAUGUUGUAGUCGUUACACUGAAACGGUUCGUUAAACAAGUGUGAAGCUCCAGUAGCGCUUAGGCUGUGCUACUGCAGAGCAGUGCUGGUGCUGCAUGGUUAUCUGUGCAGAAGGAUUCUUUUCACUUUGCAGGACACCUGACUUAUACUUUUGUUCUGGUCAGCCUCGAGGGACUGUGUAUGCCAUUUAGUAACUAUUGCUACGUGGUGUUUUUAUACAUACAUACAGCAGAAGGCUGUAUACCAUGUUCAAUUUCAUAGUUACCUGUCAGUAAACAUUCACACUUGUGUCAUGUACCUUUCUUGUUUCAGUGAGAAUCUUAAGCUAGAACAUGUAUUUACAGUGUUCUUCAGACCAAGGCAUAUGGCACCAUUUCUGUUUUACAUAAUAAAUGGAGAAUGGUUAGGGCAGAGUCGCUCCUAGAACCUAGAAGAAAGACAAAACUGUAAUUACCCUCGCCCUAUUUACCACAUGGCUACAAUAUGUCAAUUGCAAUUAUAUUAUGGAUUAUGUGCCAUUAACUGGUUUCUGUUCAGAUUUCCAUGCUAUUUAGGGCAUGCUCAGUCAUGAAUCUUUAGAAACCAUCUUUUUGUCUUGACUCUUUUGUUUGGCACACUGCCACCUAGCUGCUGCCUUCCAUCAACGGUUCUGAAGUUAUGCUAGAAGCAAGAUGGCACUUUUGACAAGUGAAGCUUACCUGAAAUAUUCUUCAGUAGAGAAACUGCUGAUGGGAAGAAGGGACAAAAAUAGAAAAACAGAAUUAUUAUUACAAUUUGUACUGUGACAGUUGAUUCAGUAUAAUUUUGAAGCAAGUUGUGAUGUGCUGACAUUAUUUUCACUCUGAAAAAAAAAAUGAUUGCAAAACACACACAGAAAGUGAAAAAGUCAUGUUUUUCCAGGCACAUUUUAAUAGGUAGUGAUUCGGGAAAAUAAAUGAGGAAGAAAUGUAAAUACAUAGGAGGCAGAUUUACUGAAUAUUUAUUUGGAGAGAACGAAAGCUGAUCAUUACAGUAACACUCAGUAUAGGAAAUAAAAUCCACGUGUUAGAAUGAAGAUGUGGAAAUAAGCUGUAUAAAGAAACUAUUACUUUGAGUUGAGGUGGAUGUGACAUCAUUUAGGGAAUUAAAGCCAGGCUGCAAAAGCAUUAAGUGGAUAUUUGACCAAAAUUGGAAAGAUGUGUUUUAAAUAACACUUUCAACGACACUUUUAAACUCUAGCAGUAAUUGUUCUGCUACCGUAUCUUUAUAUAUCUGUAUAUCAUAUAAGGCCACAAGGUGAGAACACGUAUGCUGUGCAUAAAUGUACAUGAAGAAUGCUAAGAUAAUACAGGAGGAGUAAUAUCUCCUAUUAGUACAACUAAUAUUUGAAAACAUCAGCUCUCUUUUUGGCUCAUCAGUCCUUUUUUCUCAAACUGUCCAUUCAAAGUUUGCCUUACUAUAGCCCUAGAGAAUCACCAUCAGACAUGAUAUUUUUUUAAGAACGACGAGGCAUGAACAGUAUGGCACCGAGGCAAGUCAAAUUGCCUAUGUCCUUCCUCUAUCUAUAUUUACAUGGUUUUCUGAACCAUGCCUUCUGAUAGUAAGUCAUUGCAACAGGUCUAUGAGUGAGAUGGUCUGUCAUGGUUUCCCAUGCAUUUGUCUGUUUUUACAUGCGCAGGAAAGCAUAUGGUAGAUUUGAACCCCAAAUAACAAAUGGUAUCAAAUUUUGCUCAAAAAAAGUCUGAAAAAAAUAUGAAAAAACAUGACAUUGGAAAGAUACACUGUGAUGGAUGAUUCACUGUGACCCUUUUCUCAAUUGCACAGUUUCUGGACUCUUUAUCACUGCACUAGAGUAACCAGUAGCCAGUCAUUCAGUUUAACAGCAAAUAUUGAAGCCAAACACUAAGUAAUUUGCAUUAUAGUACAAUAGUGAGUCCAGAAAGUGCCAUAUCCAGUGGUGUUUUUCAGUGGGAUUUGGAGGAAGCUCUGCAAAGUAUUGCUCACUUAAUACAACAAAAGUUCCAUAUUUCAAUUGAAUGUCAAUACAUCCACAUCUAUGAGGAAGUUAACUCCAGUUCAUAAAGAGUUGCGGAGUUUUUUCCCUAACAUUUUUAAAACAUAAAACCCUUGAAUAUGUGGGUGUGUGGAGAUAUAUGAUGUAUUUCUGUGUCCGGUACGUGCUGUGGAGAUCUGCAUUCUUCUUUGGGUAAAGAUGAGAGUUGAUACAUACCAUGUGCAUGCAUAGAGUCAUUUCUUAAUUUAGCAACUCAUACAGAAAGUCUGUCCAAUUCUUUUCAUCUUUCCUUCUUUCACUGUGUCUGUGUGGCAAACACCCUGGGGUUCCUGUGGUUUUUGAAGUGUAUUUGCAUGAUACUGUAUAAAGAGCGAAUACAUUGUUUUGCAGUUGUUCGAAGGAGGUCACAAUAAUAGAUUUUUUUCUUCUUCUUUUUCAUUUUUUCCCUUUCUUUUUCCUUUCUUUUCUUUUUCUUUUCUUUUUUUUCUUUUUUCUUUCUUUUUUUUCCCUCUUCAUUGGUAGUUGUAAUAGUUUUGGUAAUUUGGGGGUCAGCAGUUGUACAAAAGGAAGAAAUGUAUCUAAGAAGCACCUAAUUGUGACAAAUUAACAAGAGACUUUAGAUGUGGUCUAAUACCUUGUGUUCCUGGAAAUCCCUCUCCAAAAGGAGGAGUUACAUAGUUUUUAUUUUUGUCUGAGUAUUUGGCUCCUGAGCUGUAAGCACAGAAAAAGAAGAUUUCUUUGCAGAAAGGGAGGCCAAGUAUUUUUUGGUCACAAAUAAGACCAAAAUAUUUCAGACAUGCUAUACCACUGUGAUAGCAGUGCUUUUCCUAUUCUUGAACUGGUCUUCAGAACAAUCAAACAGAAAAUACUCUACAGGACUUUAUUUUUUAAGAAGUUUUGGAAAACUGCUGGCAUAUUGUCCAGUGCAAAAGUAAGCAACAAAGCUUUAUAGUAUGUAGUUAAUCAGAGCAGAUGUUGAUGAGUCCAUCUUUCUGUGGCCCCUAUGUUCCAUUUUUACUUUGUUAAGUUUAGCACCAUUAUGACAAACUGACAGGAUACAUUACCCACCCCUAUGUUGAUGUAGUCCCAUCCACAGUAAUGCAGAAUGACACGAGGAGUGGGAAGGUUAAAGCAUAGGUCUAUUCCCCUAACAGAUACACAAAGACUCCACCAGAACCUACCAGCGAUGCAGGAAAAAUUGAGUGCUUUACAUAGAUGUGCAAGAAACAUUGCUUUUUCUUUAUGGUUUACACCUGUGCAAUGCCCCUGCUGCAGCUGGAGGAAGGGGACUGGCCCUGAACUGCAGCAAUACAUUCAGCAGGAAGAAAAAAUGAAGUUGUUUGCCUGAAGCUGAUGCAGACCUGAAAACUUAAGGAUCCUUACGGAAAGAAACGUGGAGUAAAGUGAUUACAGCCCAGAUAUUUAUAGGAAGAGGAGAGUGGAUGAGUUGGAGGAGCAUUGAGUUUGAAAGAAGAACACUGGGACAUUCAGAACUAAGAGGAACUUUGGAACAGGAAUCACAGGGAGGUCAUUACAGAGAAGAGCUGGGAAGGUGGCUCACAAAGGACUUGCAAGGGAAAGAGGUAAAAAGGCUUGGAACCUGCAGUCGUUAUGAAGUACAUAACUAUCAAAUUUCUGUGGCCUUUCUUCUACAAACUGUGCCCCUGAUAGUGUUAAUAGUCUGUUAAUUGCUAUAUAUUUGCAUUAAAUGUUUUUGAAAGUUGAAGAUAUAUUUCUGGUUUGAAUGUUAGAAUCAGAGUCUGGUGUAACAUUAAUAUGUUUUUAACAUGCCUUAGGUUGCUUCUCUUCUGCUCCUUGGCAGGGCUGAUGAGCUGACUGUAGGGUAGACAUGGCUGUUUUGAAUUGUGUUUCCCUUUGAGGCAAUCAGAUUACUUGAACUACCUUUCUAUUUAUAAACCCUGCUUAAUGGAGUAUCAGCAUGGACCCAUGACAUGCAACAUCUCUACAAAAGCGUGGAACAGGAUGCUAUAUCACUGAAUUUCCUCUGUCACUUUUGAAACUUUUUUGGGGGGUCUUUUUUUGUGGGUCUUUUCCAACCUUAGCGAUUCUAUGAUUCUAUGAAACCGAAGGGGUUUCUGAGUGACACUUACCAGCUCUGGCUUUAAGCUGCGAAAACUCCAUCAACGUCCACCGAUUGUGCAGGGAACUUUAGAGCCUCUUACAAGGCUAACAGGGUUUUCAGUGCUGGAUAUUACUCAGACUACUGUCAUUAGCCCUGAAAUGUCCAAAUGCAUGGCUGUUGCAGGACUUUUACAAAAAUAAGUACUUGAAAGAAGUUCAAAUUUAUAGUCUAUGGACCUGGUUCAGACCUCAGUUAAGUUCUUGUAAAUCCCGAGUAAAGUUCAUUUUGUAGUAGUAGCUGAAAGGGCAAGAUUCAGAGCAAUACAGUGUCAGUAUGGUUUCACAGAAGCCAAUGCAUUUAUUUCUGUUAAUAAAUCAGGCCUCUAAGCAUUUGGCUACUUUUCUUUAGUAAUUAAUGGAGAUAGUAGAUGAGGAGAGAGUGUUUAUACCACCCAAAUUUAAUCUCCUAGGCAUCUCUCUGAAGCUGAUUAAGAGCUAUAGAUUCUUCCAGAAUGUAGUUCAAAGCACUUAUAUUAAUUAUUUUAUGUAUUUGUGGAUAGUUAAACUAAGGUUGCCAAGAAAAAGCAAGCUUGCAUUGACUGUGAUUAGAGUUAAUGUUACAGUAGAGCAGAGCUCUGAGAUGUUAUACUCAGGAGAGAGGAAACUCUGAGAAAUAAAGGCUAAUAUAAAAAACUCAGGCUUAGUAUUCUGAUUACGUACAUUUUUUUGUCUACAUUUGGCUCAAAGCAUGGGCCCCUGAGAUAGGUGAAACUGAAGGUUGAAAGAAAAUCAGUACUAAUAAUUUUGGUCUAAUGCAACUUGGAAUCUGUCAGAAGGAGCAGUGGAAUAGGAAGCAGCCUUUGGUCAAGUUUAAUUUUUCUCUGAAAUAUUUCUGUGAACUAUGGUAAAAACAGAUGGAAUCUAAAAUAUACUAAGUGGAAGAAAAUGACAAAAGGAUAAAGCAAUGCAUUGUACUGAAAAAUAAUUACUUUAAGUUUGACCACUUGGAAUGUGUUUCAAAAGCACCAAGUCAAAAGCAUUUUCUUUCUACUUUUUCAUUUCCAUGAUACAUUUUCCUUUUCAGGGAACACAUCUUCAUCUGUAGAACAAAUAUGUGCUUAAUGCAUUUUAUAUUAAGAACAAUAAUGCUUGACGUUGAAUUUUAGCAAAUGUUAUUAUGGAAAGAAGUCGUAAGUACCAGGUCUGUUGGCCGAUGAUUUUAGGGACUGUUUCUUUGAACAUGGAAAUUUAACAAAACUGAAA